AUGCAUCACACAAAAGAAUGCAUUGGUUUGCAUGGUGGAAAGUGUGUAUACCUAAGAAAAAAAGGAGGUAUGGGUUUUCGGGAUAUUCAUUGUUUUAACCUUGCACUGCUAGCAUAACAGGCAUGGCGGCUCAUUGAUAACCGUGACUCCUUGUGUGCAUUAAUUCUCGAAGCAAAAUAUUAUCCUGAGGAUGAUCUUAUGAAUGUUCAGUUGAAAAAGAAGGCUUCUUAUACAUGGCAGAGCAUAAUGGCUAAAGUUGAUACUAUGACGCCCCAAGACCGGAGAUUCAGGUGCCUUCCAGGGUUUCCGGGUUUCGUCGUGUGA
rnacentral:rRNA from 1 species